GCGCCGAGUCCGCCGGAGCCGUUCGUUUCGGUGGGUCUGCGCCGGGGGGAUUGACCGAGGGGCGGAAUCUUCAGCGCGCAUAAAAUGCGAACCCAUCCCCUCUAAAUCUAGACCCUAUUCCUCCACUCGAACCCACCGCUGUCGUGAACACCGAGCGAAGAACCGAAAGAAAGUCACCGCCGCCGCUGCGAGGAUUGAGAUUAGGGGCGACUCUACCCCUGAACCCUGUCUCGGGGGCCUCGUCGGAGGUUGGCGAAGCUCGGGAUGGAAGCAAUCACGCUAAGGAUAACCGCGGUACUGAGAAUUCCUCACCGGAGCGGGCGAGCGCCCGUAAUCCGCGCCGCGUCGUGGAUCUCCGUAGCUGCAUCUCCACCCCUG
rnacentral:lncRNA from 7 species